rfam:Toxocara canis C1822445, whole genome shotgun sequence.
CGGGCGGUAGCUUAGUAGUAGAGCUCCAGCCUUGUGUGCGGGAAGACCUGGGUUCGAUUCCGUGCUGCUUAC